rnacentral:rRNA from 1 species
UACAGAGGUCCCAAGCGUUUUUUUUUUUUUUUUUUUGUUCGGAUUCAUUGGGCGUAAAGGGUGCGUAGGCGGCGCGGUAAGUCGGGUGUGAAAUCUCGGAGCUUAACUCCGAAACUGCAUUUCGAUACUGCCGUGCUUGAGGACUGGAGAGGAGACUGGAAUUUACGGUGUAGCGGUGAAAUGCGUAGAUAUCGUAAGGAAGACCAGUGGCGAAGGCGGGUCUCUGGACAGUUUCCUGACGCUGAGGCACGAAGGCCGGGAGCAAACGGG